CGGGGUGUAGCUCAGUUGGCUAGAGCGCGUGCAUGGGGUGCAUGAGGUCGCAGGUUCAAGUCCUGUCACCCCGA
rnacentral:tRNA from 1 species